AUUACAUAAAAGUUGGAUCAGCUUGUAGUGUGUUUUUCCACUUUAAUUUUGAGUGUGACUCCAAAUCCAGACCUCCAUGGGUUGAAAAAUUUGAUUUCCAUUUUUUUAUUUUUGUGUGAUUUUGUUGUCAGCACAUUCAACUAUGUAAAGAACAAAGUAUUUCAGAAGAAUAUUUAAUUCAUUCAGAUCUAGGAUGUCUUAUU